rnacentral:rRNA from 1 species
UACGGAGGGUGCAAGCGUUAUCCGGAUUCACUGGGUUUAAAGGGUGCGUAGGAGGGCAGGUAAGUCAGUGGUGAAAUCUUCGAGCUUAACUCGGAAACUGCCGUUGAUACUAUCUGUCUUGAAUACCGUGGAGAUGAGCGGAAUAUGUCAUGUAGCGGUGAAAUGCUUAGAUAUGACAUAGAACACCAAUUGCGAAGGCAGCU